UUCUAUGUGAUGUUAUUUUUAAUGCCAUUCCAACCUUCAAAUAUCAGUUGGGAGGGGAGAGUUUAGAAUAAAUCGGUAACUUGAUUAUUAAAAGAACCCUUCUCUGUUUGGGAAAAGAAUAACUGUCCCAGGAAAAGGGGGCUCACAGGGAUGCUCUUUCCAUAAACACCUUUAUACUCUUCUUUGUUGGUUGUAAGAAAAAUAGCAUUCAGGGGCCAGAAAUGGAGAGAAGACAGGGAUUUCCUUUAGCAAAGGAAUUGCAGGGAAUUUGGGUUCUUAGGAUCAGUGGUCAAAGAUAAUAUUCUUUUACUAGGGCAAUUAGAGCUAGCAGAAGAUCCAUUUAUUCCAGCAGCAGAGAAAACUGUGCAAUGGCUUUAAAAUUUUUUUUAUUUUUAUUUUUUUUGAGACAGGGUCGCCCAGGCUUGGGUGCAGUGGCACACUCAUAGCUCACUGCAGCCUUGACCUCCUGGGCUCAAGCGAUGCUCCUGCCUUAGCCUCCCCAGUAGCUGGGAUUACAGGUGUGCACCAUCCUGCCCAGCUAGUUUUUAAAAUUUUGUGUAGAGACAGGGUCUCGACAUGUUGCCCACACUGGUCUCAAACUCCUGAGCUCAGGGCAAUCCUCCUUCCUUGGCCUCCCAAAGUGCAGGGAUUAUAAGCAGCCUGUGCAAAGACUUUUAAUGCCAAAGCCGUUGUGUAAAAGUUGAGCAUAAGCCCCACAAGGCUUUUAGACUCUGAAGAACAAGUUGAGUGAAUUAAGUUUAUUUCCUCCUUUGCCCUGUUUAUGAACAUCAGAGUCACAUUUAAUAGUAGUGAAAACUGGAAAUUUGGACAGUGAGGAAAAGUUACAUCUGUGUAUUUGGACUUAGUUAAGUCAUGUUCUUCUAAAUUCUACUUACUCUAAACUUUAUUGGCAACUAUUGAUAUAUUGUGUUUGUUAGAUAUUUAUUCUUUUUUUUUCUUUUGAGACAGGGUCUUGCUGUGUCACUCGGGCAGUGGCAUGCUCAUGGCUCACUGCAGCCUUGACAUCCCAGGCUCAAGCAAUCCUUCCAUCUCAGCCUCCCUAGUAGCUGGGACUAUAGGCAUGCACCACCACACCCAGAUAAUUUGUGUAUUUUUUGUAGAGACAGGGUUUCACUGUGUUGCCCAGGCUAGUCUCAAAACUCCUGGGAUUAAGUGAUCCACUUGCCUUGGCCUUCCAAAGUGAUGGGAUUACAGGCAUCAGCCACCACACCCAGCAUCAGAGAUUUAUUCUGAUAAGUGGAUACACAUGGUUUUUUUACAUGUACAUAGAUGUAUAGAUACACAUAUAUGUUUUAGAGCAAAUGUUUAGCUUAAGGCUCCUCGUGCAAAAUGUUCUGUUGAGCACCACUGCAGUCCAAGGAAAAAAACAGAUGGUUGGUUCACUUUCCACAACCAAGCCCAAAACCCCAUUUACCAAUCAAAAUUGUAGGCACUAUGCUUAAGAAAAAAUGAUCAAUGUUUCUAAGCCAACCCAAGCCUCAACUGUCCCACCUAAACAGUUGCCAAGACUUGAUAUGAAUGUUCACCUAUGAAACCUGCCUCAGUCUUUCUUGACUCCUAUUUCUAGCCUGGGAGCCGAUAUUUCUUGUUUUUUUUUUUUUCAUUAUUCUUAUUUUUUAAGACAGAGUCUUACUUUGUCUCCCAGGCUGCAGUACAGUGGCACGAUCUCGGCUCACUGCAACCUUCGCCUCCUGGGUUCAAGCGAUCCUCCUGCUCAGCCUCCCAAGUAGCUGGGACUACAGGUGCCCACCACCAUGCCUGGCUAAUUUUUGUAUUUUUAAUAGAGACAGGGUUUUGCCAUGUUGGCCAGGUUGGUCUCGAACUCUUGACCUCAGGUGAUCCACCUGCCUUGGCCUCCCAAAGUGUUGGGAUUACAGGCAUGGGCCACCACGCCCAGCCUCCUGUUUUUUAUUUUUCAUUCUUUUAAAAUAAAGAUAGGAUCUUGCUAUAUUGCUUAGGCUGGUCUCGAACUCCUGGCCUCAAGUGACGCUCUCAUCUCGGCCUCCAAAAGUGUGGAGUUACAGGGGUGAGCCACUGUGCCCUGCCAAGUGUUUCAUGUUCUGAUGAAUUAAAUAUGUGUCCUAUGGGAGGUGGGCCAUAUGAACAACCCGAAAGGACAACACAGUGUUCAUAGAGUCACCCUGCAAAUUAGCCUCACGGCUGUCAUGGUGUGAAAUGACGGGGUGGGACACCCCCUUGACUUUGUUUACUGUAGGGACAUCAUUUGGCCCCAGAGAUCAGUGGCAGGGACAGCCUUUGUAGUUAUUAGAUUCUGUUGCCUUAGCUCUCUGGGUCCAGAAAGUUGUGAAUGGAGAUUCCAUGUAGAAAUUGGAAAUUCUUACCCAAAAAAUCCCACCUCUGAAUAGCCCAGAGGUGCGUACAUCAAAGGAGGCCACUGUUUGUUUGUUUUUCUUGGCCAAGUGGGAGGAGGAAUGCGGGAGAGCUCAGAACAUUCCCAGAGAAAAUGAGGGCCCUGACUUGAUAUGUUGUUCUCGAUUCCUUUCUGAGUGAAUUCCACGGCCGAUAAACUGGCUCGGGCACAACUGUUCACAGCUGCAUGUAGGAUGUUGCAGGGGACACAAUGGCUGCUGUGUGUGCAGGAGGACAAACAGUCCCACACAGGCCUGAGCCUGAGCAACAAUGAGCGACAAACGGCCUUCAAUACAAUGCAUUCAUUUCCUGUAAUAACACUGGGGUAAAUGCGGCCUGGGAGGCCAGUUCCACCUGACAGAGACGCUCCACUUCAUGCAAUCGUUUUCAGAGGCCCGCUUUUCAUGAAGAAAGACACAUAUAAAAAGGAGAGAGAUGGCAAGCGGCUGAGGGUUUUCUUUUCCCCUCCUGCAAAGCAAGAUAUAAUUAAAACCAUGUAUAUUUUUAAUGCCUAGAUAAAACAGUGUGGUAAAAAUACUGUCGAGGUGUUAGAAGCUAUUUCAAUUUUUAGUCUUUCUGACACUAACUGCUCGUGAUUCACCAUCGCUGCUAAAAAUACUGGCAGGCGGCAGCCUGAGCUUCUCUGCUUCCCAGCAGGUAGACUGGCUCUAACGUGAGCUUACCUCCCUGUCCUGCCAGAGCUUCCAUCCUCAUGUAGGUAAGAGUACUACUGGGAAUUGGCUUGACAGCCUAUAAUAAUAAUAAUUGGCUGGGCGUGGUGGCUCAUGCCUGUAAUCCCAGCACUUUGGGAGGCCGAGAUGGGCGGAUCGCCUGAGGUCAGGAAUUCGAGACCAGCCUGGCCAACAUGGUGAAACCCCGUCUCUACUAAAAAUACAAAAA
rnacentral:lncRNA from 10 species